AUUGAACGCUGGCGGCAGGCCUAACACAUGCAAGUCGAACGAGUGGCGGACGGGUGAGUAAUGUCUGGGAAACUGCCUGGUGGAGGGGGAUAACUACUGGAAACGGUAGCUAAUCCCGCAUCCUAUCAGUUGUGCCCAUAUGGGAUUAGCUAGUGGGUGGGGUAACGGCUCACAAAGGCGACGAUCCCUAGCUGGUCUGAGAGGAUGACCAGCCACACUGGAACUGAGACACGGUCCAGACUCCUACGGGAGGCAGCAGUGGGGAAUAUUGCACAAUGGGCGCAAGCCUGAUGCAGCCAUGCCGCGUGUAUGAAGAAGGCCUUCGGGUUGUAAAGCACUUUCAGCGGGGAGGCGUUACCCGCAGAAGAAGCACCGGCUAACUCCGUGCCAGCAGCCGCGGUAAUAC
rnacentral:rRNA from 1 species